rnacentral:misc_RNA from 1 species
CCAGUACAACCGCGCCUCCGGGCGCGGUCUACUACCAACCCUUUGUCAUCCGACCGCGUUGCCUCCGGGUGCGACCCUGACCUCCGGGUCUCGCGUCUCCCCGGGUGGACAUACCUAAAACUCUGCAUAACUUUGUAGUCUGAGUAAACAUUUUAAUUAAAUUA